GAUCCAGCCAUGCCGCGUGUGUGAAGAAGGUCUUCGGAUUGUAAAGCACUUUAAGUUGGGAGGAAGGGCAGCUAAUUAAUACUUCGCUGUUUUGACGUUACCGACAGAAUAAGCACCGGCUAACUCUGUGCCAGCAGCCGCGGUAAUACAGAGGGUGCAAGCGUUAAUCGGAAUUACUGGGCGUAAAGCGCGCGUAGGUGGUUUGUUAAGUUGAAUGUGAAAUCCCCGGGCUCAAACCUGGGAACUGCAUCCAAAACUGGCAAGCUAGAGUAGGGCAGAGGGUGGUGGAAUUUCCUGUGUAGCGGUGAAAUGCGUAGAUAUAGGAAGGAACACCAGUGGCGAAGGCGACCACCUGGGCUCAUACUGACACUGAGGUGCGAAAGGUGGGGAGCAAACAGGAUUAGAUACCCUGGUAGUCCACGCCGUAAACGAUGUCAACUAGCCGUUGGAAGCCUUGAGCUUUUAGUGGCGCAGCUAACGCAUUAAGUUGACCGCCUGGGGAGUACGGCCGCAAGGUUAAAACUCAAAUGAAUUGACGGGGGCCCGCACAAGCGGUGGAGCAUGUGGUUUAAUUCGAAGCAACGCGAAGAACCUUACCAGGCCUUGACAUCCAAUGAACUUUCCAGAGAUGGAUUGGUGCCUUCGGGAACAUUGAGACAGGUGCUGCAUGGCUGUCGUCAGCUCGUGUCGUGAGAUGUUGGGUUAAGUCCCGUAACGAGCGCAACCCUUGUCCUUAGUUACCAGCACGUUAAGGUGGGCACUCUAAGGAGACUGCCGGUGACAAACCGGAGGAAGGUGGGGGAUGACGUCAAGUCAUCAUGGCCCUUACGGCCUGGGCUACACACGUGCUACAAUGGUCGGUACAGAGGGUUGCCAAGCCGCGAGGUGGAGCUAAUCCCAGAAAACCGAUCGUAGUCCGGAUCGCAGUCUGCAACUCGACUGCGUGAAGUCGGAAUCGCUAGUAAUCGCGAAUCAGAAUGUCGCGGUGAAUACGUUCCCGGGCCUUGUACACACCGCCCGUCACACCAUGGGAGUGGGUUGCACCAGAAGUAGCUAGUCUAACCUUCGGGAGGACGGUUACCACGGUGUGAUUCAUGACUGGGGUGAAGUCGUAACAAGGUAGCCGUAGGGGAACCUGCGGCUGGAUCACCUCCUUAAUCGAAGAC
rnacentral:rRNA from 1 species